GCGGGCCUGGCCGAGCGGUUUAGGCAUCUGCCUUCCAAGCCGAGUACAUGGGUUCGAUUCCCAUGGCUAGCUCCA
rnacentral:tRNA from 1 species